UCCCCCACAUUGGUACUGAGACACGGACCAAACUCCUACGGGAGGCAGCAGUGAGGAAUAUUGGUCAAUGGGCGUAAGCCUGAACCAGCCAAGUCGCGUGAGGGAUGAAGGUUCUAUGGAUCGUAAACCUCUUUUAUAAGGGAAUAAAGUGUGGGACGUGUCCUAUUUUGUAUGUACCUUAUGAAUAAGGAUCGGCUAACUCCGUGCCAGCAGCCGCGGUAAUACGGAGGAUCCGAGCGUUAUCCGGAUUUAUUGGGUUUAAAGGGUGCGUAGGCGGCCUUUUAAGUCAGCGGUGAAAGUCUGUGGCUCAACCAUAGAAUUGCCGUUGAAACUGGGGGGCUUGAGUAUGUUUGAGGCAGGCGGAAUGCGUGGUGUAGCGGUGAAAUGCUUAGAUAUCACGCAGAACCCCGAUUGCGAAGGCAGCCUGCCAAGCCAUGACUGACGCUGAUGCACGAAAGCGUGGGGAUCAAACAGGAUUAGAUACCCUGGUAGUCCACGCAGUAAACGAUGAUCACUAGCUGUUUGCGAUACAGUGUAA
rnacentral:rRNA from 1 species